ACCCUGUGGCGGGUGCGAACCCCCGCCCGGCAGUGGCGGGGGCUGCUCCCAGCUUCUGGCUGUCGCGGACCUGCCGCCUCCUCCUACUCCGCAUCCGCCGAGCCUGCCCGGGUCCGGGCGCUUGUCUAUGGGCACCACGGGGAUCCAGCCAAGGUCGUCGAAUGAAAACUGAGGCAGAAGAGGUAAAAUCACUCGUCCAAGGUCACACAGCCAAGGUAUAACCAGGGAAUUGUUUCAGAGGUUUCCUUGGAUAUUCCUACAACUGAUAACAGCUGUCAUUUCUUCAGCAUCUACUGUGUAGAACCGUAAUUCCUGGGCACACAUGGCAGCUCAGAAAUGUUGCCUGACCUACUUUGAGGAGAUGAUUUGAGCGAAACACCCAUUCUAGCCUGGAUGACAUGAACAUCUCCGUUUGGCUUUGUGCUUAGACUCAAGAACCUGGAGCUAGCUGCUGUGGGAGGAUCAGAUGUCCGUGUGAAGAUGCUGGCGGCCCCUAUCAAUCCAUCUGACAUAAAUAUGAUCCAAGGAAACUACGGACUCCUUCCUGAACUGCCUGCUGUUGGAGGGAAC
rnacentral:sRNA from 1 species